rnacentral:rRNA from 1 species
UAGGGAAUCUUCGGCAAUGGACGGANNNNNNACCGAGCAACGCCGGCGUGAGUGAAGAAGGUUUUCGGAUCGUAAAGCUCUGUUGUAAGAGAAGAACGAGUGUGAGAGUGGAAAGUUCACACUGUGACGGUAUCUUACCAGAAAGGGACGGCUAACUACGUGCCAGCAGCCGCGGUAAUACGUAGGUCCCGAGCGUUGUCCGGAUUUAUUGGGCGUAAAGCGAGCGCAGGCGGUUAGAUAAGUCUGAAGUUAAAGGCUGUGGCUUAACCAUAGUACGCUUUGGAAACUGUUUAACUUGAGUGCAAGAGGGGAGAGUGGAAUUCUAUGUGUAGCGGUGAAAUGCGUAGAUAUAUGGAGGAACACCGGUGGCGAAAGCGGCUCUCUGGCUUGUAACUGACGCUGAGGCUCGAAAGCGUGGGGAGCAAACAGGAUUAGAUACCCUGGUAGUCCACGCCGUAAACGAUGAGUGCUAGGUGUUAGACCCUUUCCGGGGUUUAGUGCCGCAGCUAACGCAUUAAGCACUCCGCCUGGGGAGUACGANCGCANGGUUG